GAAGAACGCUGGCGGCGUGCCUAAUACAUGCAAGUCGAGCGAAUGGAUUAAGAGCUUGCUCUUAUGAAGUUAGCGGCGGACGGGUGAGUAACACGUGGGUAACCUGCCCAUAAGACUGGGAUAACUCCGGGAAACCGGGGCUAAUACCGGAUAAUAUUUUGAACUGCAUGGUUCAAAAUUGAAAGGCGGCUUCGGCUGUCACUUAUGGAUGGACCCGCGUCGCACUUGCUAGUGGGUGAGGUAACGGCUCACCAAGGCAACGAUGCGUAGCCGACCUGAGAGGGUGAUCGGCCACACUGGGACUGAGACACGGCCCAGACUCCUACGGGAGGCAGCAGUAGGGAAUCUUCCGCAAUGGACGAAAGUCUGACGGAGCAACGCCGCGUGAGUGAUGAAGGCUUUCGGGUCGUAAAACUCUGUUGUUAGGGAAGAACAAGUGCUAGUUGAAUAAGCUGGCACCUUGACGGUACCUAACCAGAAAGCCACGGCUAACUACGUGCCAGCCGCCGCAGUAA
rnacentral:rRNA from 1 species